rnacentral:tRNA from 1 species
GGGAGGGUACCUCUCGGUGUGGAGCAUGUGCUUAGCAUGCAUGAGGUCCUGGGUUCAAUUCCCAGUACUUCCA